rnacentral:other from 1 species
CUUCACCGCCACAUAGGCGGCUUAAAAA